rnacentral:rRNA from 1 species
CUACGGGGUGCAGCAGUGGGGAAUAUUGCACAAUGGAGGAAACUCUGAUGCAGCAACGCCGCGUGGAGGAUGACACUUUUCGGAGCGUAAACUCCUUUUAUAUAGGAAGAUAAUGACGGUACUAUAUGAAUAAGCACCGGCUAACUCCGUGCCAGCAGCCGCGGUAAUACGGAGGGUGCAAGCGUUACUCGGAAUCACUGGGCGUAAAGAGCGUGUAGGCGGGUUAAUAAGUCAGAAGUGAAAUCCUAUGGCUCAACCAUAGAACUGCUUUUGAAACUGUUAACCUAGAGUGUGGGAGAGGUAGAUGGAAUUUCUGGUGUAGGGGUAAAAUCCGUAGAGAUCAGAAGGAAUACCGAUUGCGAAGGCGAUCUACUGGAACAUAACUGACGCUGAGACGCGAAAGCGUGGGGAGCAAACAGGAUUAGAUACCCAGUAGUC